AACGAACGCUGGCGGCAUGCCUAACACAUGCAAGUCGAACGAGACCUUCGGGUCUAGUGGCGCACGGGUGCGUAACGCGUGGGAAUCUGCCCUUGGGUUCGGAAUAACUCAGAGAAAUUUGAGCUAAUACCGGAUGAUGACGAAAGUCCAAAGAUUUGUCGCCCAAGGAUGAGCCCGCGUAAGAUUAGCUUGUUGGUGGGGUAAUGGCCUACCAAGGCGACGAUCUUUAGCUGGUCUGAGAGGAUGAUCAGCCACACUGGGACUGAGACACGGCCCAGACUCCUACGGGAGGCAGCAGUGGGGAAUAUUGGACAAUGGGCGAAAGCCUGAUCCAGCAAUGCCGCGUGAGUGAUGAAGGCCUUAGGGUUGUAAAGCUCUUUUACCAGGGAUGAUAAUGACAGUACCUGGAGAAUAAGCUCCGGCUAACUCCGUGCCAGCCGCCGCCGUAAUAC
rnacentral:rRNA from 1 species